rnacentral:rRNA from 1 species
GAUGAACGCUGGCGGCGUGCCUAAUACAUGCAAGUCGAGCGAACGGACGAGAAGCUUGCUUCUCUGAUGUUAGCGGCGGACGGGCGAGUAACACGUGGAUAACCUACCUAUAAGACUGGGAUAACUUCGGGAAACCGGAGCUAAUACCGGAUAAUAUUUUGAACCGCAUGGUUCAAAAGUUAAAGACGGUCUUGCUGUCACUUAUAGAUGGAUCCGCGCUGCAUUAGCUAGUUGGUAAGGUAACGGCUUACCAAGGCAACGAUGCAUAGCCGACCUGAGAGGGUGAUCGGCCACACUGGAACUGAGACACGGUCCAGACUCCUACGGGAGGCAGCAGUAGGGAAUCUUCCGCAAUGGGCGAAAGCCUGACGGAGCAACGCCGCGUGAGUGAUGAAGGUCUUCGGAUCGUAAAACUCUGUUAUUAGGGAAGAACAUAUGUGUAAGUAACUGUGCACAUCUUGACGGUACCUAAUCAGAAAGCCACGGCUAACUACGUG